AGAAAAGUUUCAUCACAUUUUAUGCUGCAUAAAUCGUUCAAUAGCUCUUUUUAUUUUUUUAACUGUGGAGUUAAUGCUGAGUAGAGUUGUAACAGGCAUUUACCAAGGUACUAUCAAAGGACACAAUCAAAAUAUUGUAAGAAGCCUGGGCCCUGGGAUGACAGGCCUCGCGGAAGCGUAUGUUAGAUAUGCCAGCCCCACUGGUAAGCGCUGGGAUUGUGAAAGAAACACGUAACAGAAAUUGGAAGGACACACCACACCUGUGACCCUGGGGAAAGGCGAAGUCGAGUGGUAACACCAUUUCCCGAGGAAAUGAUACAAUUUUGC
rnacentral:lncRNA from 1 species